UUUUAAUAGUUUAACUCACAUUUACUUGAUUGCUUUUAAAUGUAAACCAACAAAAUAAUUACUCUUUAUUUUAUUUAUUUUUUAUUGUCAUUAUUAUUAAUGUUAUUGCAUAAAACAAAUCCUAUCUUGAUAAUGUGAUUCAUUUUGCAAAAUCAGAAGGAUCUGAUAUUGAUGUUGUUAAACCCUAGUGCUAUCUAAUCCCCAUACAAUUGUUUAACACCAAAAAUGAAAAAGAAGAUUUGAUUUAGAAUGGAUAAUAUUAUGUUGGAGAGUCCAGUAACUCCUAUGUCACUGACAUGGAAGCACUUGUAUCUAUGGAACUGGUGGGAUAGCAGUUGCAAGCUGAGAUUGCACCCAGGAAAGCAGUGAUGAAGGGUUUUGAAGAUGAGGCUGCCACAGUGUGCGCUCACCAGGUGUGCCCUGCAAACACAGUACCACCACACCAAACUAGUUGAAUCUACCAUUACAGGGAGUGUGGAGGACAUCAUCUUGACUAGAGGAAUAUUGAAGCCCACUGUUGCUCAAUCUCACUGCUUGCAAAUUUCAC
rnacentral:lncRNA from 1 species